CAGGUACCGUCAAGGCACAGAGAUAUUAGCCCUGUGUUUUUCUUUCCUGACAAAAGUGCUUUACAACCCUAAGGCCUUCAUCACUCACGCGGCAUUGCUGGAUCAGGCUUUCGCCCAUUGUCCAAUAUUCCCC
rnacentral:rRNA from 1 species